GGAAAAGUGCCAAUUUCGACCCCAACAAUUUCAGUCGUGCCAAAUACGACCCGAACAAUUGAUCAGUGCCAAAUACGACCUCAACUCAAUUAUAAUUCAAAAAAACUACCCGAACUUUUUAAAAUGUGCCUAAAUCUACAUUGACUCUAACAGAAGUUAGUCAACCGUUAACAAGAUAAAACGACGUCGUUUUGAUAUACGAGGAAAAGUGCCAAUUUAGACCCCAACACUCUCAAUCGUGCUAAAUAGGACCCGAACAAAUGGUCAGUGCCAAAAACGACUUCAACUCAAUUAUAAUUUAAGAAAAAUUACCCAAUUUUUUUUUAAAACGUGUCUAAAUCUACAUUGACUCUAACAGAAGUUAAUCAACAUUUAACAAGAUAAGACGACGUCGUUUUGAUAUAUGUAUUUUUUUAAAAAUAUGUUCAUUUCGGAACUCAAAUCCGUACUGAGAUAUCCUUUUAAAGGGGCA
rnacentral:lncRNA from 1 species